UAUGGUUAAGUUCUCGUUUAAAGACCUUAUAGAGGUGCAUGAUCAUGUUGGUUUGAGAUGUCAGAAAAAAAAAAAGCUCUAAAGGGCAUAAUCAGGUUAGUGUGUUGUAUCAUUUGGAGGGCGAGAAACCAUGCCAGAUUCAACAACAACACGGUUAAGCUAGAUCGUAUUAUCAGUGAGGUCAAAAGUGUGGGUUUUUUGUGGUAUACAUCUAGAACUAAAGGAACGUCUAUUUUAUGGGUAGAUUGGUGUAAAUUUGUAAUGUGUGUUUCGGCUGCCUCGGUUUGAGGUGGCUUGUGUUUUAAUGAAGUUUACUUUUCAAAAAAAACGCACACCAAUAAAAAAGAGCACCCUCGAUGAGGACAUAUCCUUUAAUUAAGGGUGUGCAUAUUCACACACCUUAGUGCCUAUUUCCACACCCUGUAAGACACCUCGUAUAGGCCUAGACGGGGUGUCUAGGGCCUUUAAGACGCCUCGUCUAGGCCUAUACAAGGCGUCUAGGGUUUUUGUCUCCAACCAGCCACUGAACCUCGUACAAGGUCAAAUCAAUCACAUCAGACAGGGCGUCUAGGCCUAUACGAGGGAGCAAUACAAUAGAGCAAGGCACCUCGUCUAGGCCUAGACGAGGCGUCUUGAGGACUGAUUUGACUAUGUGUCUGGCAUGCGACAUAAAGUAAUAUGGGGCGUCUAUAUUUGAAAUAAAUAGUGACAUGCAGAGCAUUCUUCAACCAUCCAUCGUUCUGCCUUACACCGAGCUUCUUCUUUGCCUUAUUUUUUUAUCACUUGUGAGGUGCUGAAAUGUCAUCAUACUGGGACGGCAACUAUGUCUUUGGGCCGUAUUCUAGCGAGUCAUAGGAGACUGGUGUUCCCGAUUCUAAUGAGCAAGAGGAGGUUGUGUCUAGUGUACAAGGAAACAAAACAAACUGUUUCUAGAUUUGGACACGCAUCCUCCUGUUGAUGAAACAUACCCUGUAGAUGACUCAUGCCAUGCUGAUGAACCAAGUUAUCCGGCGCAACAAGGGUAUCUGGAUUAUAGAUACCCCGAGAGGUCCCUAAUGGCAACCGUGGGACCUACCGGAGCAGUUCGAUCUAGUCUAUCAUCCGCCAGAUGCUGCUGCAGCGGUCGUGCAGGACCCUCCGGUGGAUUUAGACGGAUCAGCGAUGCCACAGCUACCGCCACCUCUCGGGGCGCCCCAAUUUCCAUGGCAGGUUUAUCCAGGUCAUGCCCCGGGAGCUGCAGCAGAUCCACAUUUACGAGCCGACGUUGACAAGCUUAUAGAUUUGGUGGGUUAGUUGAUUCGAGAGGCUCAAAAUAGACGAGAGAGAGAGGUUACCCGCAAUACUGCUCCCACUAACUCGAGCACCACAUCAUCAGCAACAGCCGCAACAACCAGAUCCAGAUUCAGACUCGUACCCAGAGGCAUAGACCAGCUGCAUGUACAUAUUUUGGUAUUUAGUGUUCAAUUGUAGUUUUUAUUUUUCUUAUGGAUGUACAAACUUAUAUUAUAUAUGUCAUAUUUAAGUUUAUUUUCAGCUA